UACGUAGGGGGCAAGCGUUGUCCGGAAUUAUUGGGCGUAAAGCGCGCGCAGGCGGCUUUGUAAGUUUGGUGUUUAAUCUCAGAGCUCAACUCUGAUUCGCAUCGAAAACUGCAAGGCUUGAGUACAGAAGAGGAAAGUGGAAUUCCACGUGUAGCGGUGAAAUGCGUAGAGAUGUGGAGGAACACCAGUGGCGAAGGCGGCAUCCUGGACCAACACUGACGCUGAACAGCGAAAGCCAGGGGAGCAAACGGG
rnacentral:rRNA from 1 species